rnacentral:lncRNA from 1 species
CUGUUGGAUCCAUUAUCAUCUAACUUAAUGGGAGGCUAUGAUCUAGUUAUCACCAUAACUAUUUUAUUUUGAAGGACUUAAUAAUUUUAGAAAAUUUAAUUAGAUGAAAUAAAAGAUGAGAAAAGACUUGAUCAAUUAAUCUUAAUCUUCCCACUGACUUCACCAAAUUAGAUCAAAAAAGACUAGGCAUAAGCUGGUCUAGCCAAUCAGUCAUAAAUCCUCCCACUGACUUCAUCAAAUCAUGAAGAAGACUUUAGAAAAGUCAAACUAGGGGUACCUAAAUCAAUCAUAUUGAUUUUCUAAUUAGCAUGGGUCAACCCUAAUCAUUAAAUGAUCUGAUUAAAACAUGAUUCACUACGUUGGCCAAAUAAGUAAGAUCAAUGAGAGGGAUAUGCUAUUAACUCAUCAUAGACUCAAUCUAUGCAAGUAGCUCCUAAUUUA